rnacentral:rRNA from 1 species
UCCAGCUGAUCCUGCUGGUGGGUACUGCUAUUGGAAUCUGACUAAGACAUGCAAGUCUGAAAGCUUCAACUAUGAGGAGUUUUGGCAGACGGCUCAGUAACGCGUGGUCAACCUACCUUUUUGACAAGUUAAACUUGGGAAACUGAGUAUAAUGCUUGAUAGGUAAACAAAUCUGGAAUGAUUGUUUACUCAAAGGUCUUACAUUCAUGUUUGUAAGAUGCAAAAAGAUGGGACUGCGUCAGAUUAGGUUGUUGGUAGGGUAAUUGCUUACCAAGCCAAAGAUCUGUACGGGUCUUGAAAGAGAGCGCCCGGAGAAGGGAACUGAGAUAAUGUCCCUAGCCCUACGGGGUGCAGCAGUUACGAAACUUUUACAAUGCGGGAAACCGUGAUAAAGAAAUUCCAAGUGCCUGCAAAAACAGGCUUUUGUAUAGUGUAAACAGCUAUGCGAAUAAGGGGAGGGCAAUAUACGUGCCAGCCGCCGCGGUAAUACGUAAUCCCCAAGUGGUAUCCAGCUUUAUUUGGCUUAAAGCGUGUGUAGCUGGUUUAUUAAGUCUUUUGUGAAAGCAGUAUGCUUAACAUAUUGAAUUGCAAAAGAUACUGGUAGGCUAGAGAUAGGAAGACGUUGAGGGUAUUCUUGGAGUAGGAGUAGAAUCUUAAGAUACCAAGAAGACCAUCUGUGGCGAAGGCGCUCAACGAGGACUAAUCUGACAGUGAGACACGAAAGCUGGGGGCGCAACCCGGAUUAGAUACCCGGUUAGUCCCAGCCGUAAACGAUGCGGAUUAGGUGUUGGGAUAACCACGAGUUAUUUCAGGGCCGAAGAGAAAUCAUUAAAUCCGCCGCCUGGGAAGUACUGUCGCAAGACUGAAACUUAAUGGAAUUGGCGGGGGUGCACUACAAGGGGUGGAUGCUGCGGUUUAAUUGGAUGAAACGCCAGAGAAUCUUACCAGAAUAGACAGCAAGAUGAUGGUCAGUCUGAAGGGCUUACCUGAUGCGCUGAGAGGUGCUGUAUGGUCAUCGCCAGCUCGUACUGCGAAGCUUCCUGUUAACUCAGGUAACGGGCGAGACCCACAUUAUUAGUUGCUAUCUUGUUUCUUAGAAACAGGAGCACUCUAAUAAGACUGCAUUGGUAACAAUGAGGAAGGAGUGGGCGACGGUAGAUCUGUAUAGCCCGAUCGUUCUGGGCAACACGCGGCAUACAAUGGUUAAGACAAAGAGUAUCUAACCUGAGAAGGGGUGGUAAUCUCAAAAACUUAACCCAAGUUCGGAUUGUGGGUUGCAACUCACCCACAUGAAGAUGGAAUCCCCAGUAAUCGCAUGUCAUUAUCAUGCGGUGAAUAUGUCCCUGCGCCUUGCACACACCGCCCAUCAAGCCAGUUGAGUAAAGUGUGGAUGAAUUUUAGUUUACUAAAGGCUAAAAUUAUUCUAUAUUUUGCGAGACGGACUAAGUUGUAACAAGGUGUCCGUA